rnacentral:lncRNA from 12 species
AGGAACUGCCUGAGGCCUAUUACAUUUAAUAUUCCUUUGACUAAAAGCCAUUAUAUAAUUACACAAUAAGUCCUUGCACUAUAAAUCAAUGGAAUUCAUAUUAAGUAGCUUUCCUUUGAAGGGACUGAAAUGAGAAUGGGAUUAAGAAAGAGUGAAUGAGAGAAAACGCAUUUGUUGUUUUUUCCUGUUUAAAAUAACUUUUAUUACUUUUUGCUUCUUCCAGGUUCAUUAAAGAUAAUUUAACUAGAUAAAAAGGAAGAAAAUAUCCAUCUAUAAUCUCACCAUCCCCAGUAAUAACCAAUAUUGUUAAUUCAAUGUAUAUUAUUUGCAAUCAGAUAUACACACAAACACACACACACACACACAUAAUUUUUCACUGAAAUUAUCUGAAUUGGUAUUUUAGGUUGAAUAUCCCUAGAAGACCUUGAGACAAGGAUUCAAGUGCUAAUAGUUCACUUGAGAAAUGACCUCAGGAAACACAAGUAGAAGAGUAGAAAAGUGAGACAGGGAAAAGAAAGCAGCCAAUAGAGGGUACAUUAACUGGGAAGUAAUCGCCGUGGAUCCCUGUAGCUGAUGCCAAUGAGGAACUCUGGGAGUCAAUACAGAAGACUGUUCUUGUCCAUACAUGAAUCUCAUCGAUUACUGGGGGGGGGCUGUUUGUAUAUACUCUCUCUCAUGAAAUAAUGGUAGGUUCCCACACCCAGUGUGGAGCCCAAUCUGGAGCUUUAAUUCAUGACCCUGAGAUCAUGAGCUGAGAUUAGGAGUCAGACACUUAACUGACUGAGCCACCCAGGCACCUCUAAAUGUUCAAAUUCUUAAAAUAACAUUAAAAUAGUAUAAAGACUGACUAAAAUUCUUUUGUUGUUGUCGUUGCUUUUCUGUGCUUAUUAACUGUGUUGGUGAAUGCAUGGUAACUGGCUUUAUUGUUCUGUGAGUAGUAUAUACUCAUUUAUAGAAUACAAAGAAAAAGAAAAAAUCAGUUAAUAAUUUUCAAUAUUUAAAUUUAGCAGACUUCAAAUAUUAAACAUUACCAACAGAAAUUUCUAAAUGCAUAUAAGAACUUCUUAUAAUAUUUCAAUCUUAAAUAAAAUAUAUCUACAGCAUAAAAUUACA